rnacentral:rRNA from 1 species
AGGACGAACGCUGGCGGCGUGCUUAACACAUGCAAGUCGAGCGGUAAGGCACUUCGGUGUACACGAGCGGCGAACGGGUGAGUAACACGUGAGUAAUCUGCCCUCCACUUCGGGAUAAGCUUCGGAAACGGGGUCUAAUACCGGAUACGACAUUCGCCUGCAUGGGUGUGUGUGGAAAGUUUUCGGUGGGGGAUGUGCUCGCGGCCUAUCAGCUUGUUGGUGGGGUAAUGGCCUACCAAGGCUUCGACGGGUAGCCGGCCUGAGAGGGUGACCGGCCACGACUGGGACUGAGACACGGCCCAGACUCCUACGGGAGGCAGCAGUGGGGAAUAUUGGACAAUGGGCGGAAGCCUGAUCCAGCAACGCCGCGUGAGGGAUGACGGCCUUCGGGUUGUAAACCUCUUUCAGUACCGACGAAGCGAGAGUGACGGUAGGUACAGAAGAAGCACCGGCCAACUACGUGCCAGCAGCCGC